GUCAAGCACCAGCAACGUCACCAACAGCAACACCAGCACCACCCACACCAACUUCUUCUCCACCGCCAGCAACCACUCCUCCACCAGUUUCAGCCCCACCUCCUGUUACCCAAUCUCCACCUCCAGCUACCCCUCCUCCAGUUUCAGCCCCACCACCUGCCACCCCUCCUCCCGCAACCCCACCACCAGCAACUCCUCCUCCCGCCACCCCACCACCAGCAACCCCACCACCUGCUACUCCUCCACCAGCAACCCCUCCUCCCGCUGUUCCUCCACCAGCUCCAUUGGCAGCUCCACCAGCUCUUGUUCCAGCUCCAGCUCCCAGCAAGCCUAAGUUGAAGUCUCCAG
rnacentral:lncRNA from 1 species